rnacentral:rRNA from 1 species
AGAGUUUGAUCAUGGCUCAGGAUGAACGCUAGCGACAGGCCUAACACAUGCAAGUCGAGGGGCAUCGGGACGUAGCAAUACGUUGCCGGCGACCGGCGGAUGGGUGAGUAACGCGUAUGCAACCUACCCGUAGCAGGGGGAUAGCCCGUUGAAAGACGGAUUAAUACCCCGUAACACAGGGGCUCCGCAUGGAGAUUAUUGUUAAAGGGUCAUUUCUUUUUCAGGGAUGGUCCGGCUGCGGAUGGGCAUGCGUUCCAUUAGGUAGUUGGUGUAGGUAACUGCUCACCAAGCCGACGAUGGAUAGGGGAACUGAGAGGUUGGUCCCCCACACUGGUACUGAGACACGGACCAGACUCCUACGGGAGGCAGCAGUGAGGAAUUUUGGUCAAUGGACGCAAGUCUGAACCAGCCAUGUCGCGUGAAGGAGGACGGCCCUAAGGGUUGUAAACUUCUUUUGCAGUGGAAUAAAGUUUGCCACGUGUUGGCGAUUUGCAAGUACGCUGCGAAUAAGGAUCGGCUAACUCCGUGCCAGCAGCCGCGGUAAUACGGAGGAUCCAGGCGUUAUCCGGAUUUAUUGGGUUUAAAGGGUGCGCAGGCGGGGAAUUAGGUCGGCGGUGAAAUUUCGGGGCUCAACCUCGACAGUGCCGUUGAAACCGUUUCUCUUGAGUGCGGAUGAGGUAGGCGGAAUUUGUGGUGUAGCGGUGAAAUGCGUAGAUAUCACAAGGAACACCGAUUGCGGAGGCAGCUUACUAAACCGUUACUGACGCUCAUGCACGAAGGCGUGGGGAUCAAACAGGAUUAGAUACCCUGGUAGUCCACGCAGUAAACGAUGAUUACUUGCUGUUUGCGAUACACAGUAAGCGGCGAAGCGAAAGCGUUAAGUAAUCCACCUGGGGAGUACGUUCGCAAGAAUGAAACUCAAGGAAUUGACGGGGCCCGCACAAGCGGAGGAACAU